GAUGCCGUAGCUGAAGUUACCUGCCUGCUGUGCGGUGACGGCCUCGCAGUAGCUGUACGCGGCGAGCACCGGUGCGGACGCGGUCGGCGUUCC
rnacentral:tRNA from 1 species